rnacentral:lncRNA from 1 species
GUGAGGCAGAUGAAGAAGCCUUUGCCGAGGAGUGCAGACGGAGAGGACAACACGCCCUGCCUUGCCAGCCGACCAACCCUCGCCUGCUGAAGUCUCACAAACCUGCCAGUUCCCCCAAAUAUGCCUAUCAUUACAAUAGUGAUGAGGUGGAAGAACAAGAUAGAAGCCGGGUUACAAGCAGCUUGGAGACCCCUUUUUAUUUAUCAGGACACAAAGAAGGCAGCAAGAGGAGGAAGCAGAAGCAGAGAGAGGAACAGAAGAAGAAGAAGUCAACCAAAGGGAGUUACUAAAAUGGACUUCUCUGCUAUGCCAAUACCUUUAUAAUAAUGACAACUUAAUGUUACAUUUGAGCACACCUCUUUUGUGUAUAUUUUUUGAUUGUUCACACUGCUAGCAAGGAAGUGACUCAUGUUUAAAACUGUACUAAAAUUGCACUAUGUUAUUCUCUUUAGUUUCACAGAGUGGCUUUCUUGCCAGUCAGGUUAGGGAAUCUGAACGAGGCUGAUCUUGGUUAGAAGUGUGUUAUGUUUGAAGAUUGGAAAGCGUUACAGAAUUUCAUACCUCUUUCUUCCCUGGGACUAAAAUGACUCUAGUCUAGUGUUUGUUUAUUUGUCUUGUAGGAUAUAAAGGGUUGUGCAAAUGGCUGUUUGUUUGGUCACUCUGGCAUCAACAUCAGGCCUGUUGAAAGAAGAGUCCUGUUCACUCAUGUCAUUGGGAAUGGGGGAUUGAGACAUGAGCUCUUAUAGGGUAAUUUAUGCAAGCUUGACAAGUGAUUUUUAUGGUUGGGGUUUUUUUCCCAAGCUGGGCAGCAAAGGUUGGUCAUUACUAUUAAAAUGUUCCUUCAUUUUAAAUUGUAUCGUGAAGUUAUAUCCUCUGAUUUUAAGAAACUUGGUGUAAUGAUGGUCUCCUGUAAGCACUCCUACUGAUUUCCUUAAGCAUAGUUGACUCCCAAUGAAUCAUUUAGUGAAAUCAUUCCUUAUUUUAAAAGUUUAUUUUCAGAACCUAGAGACAAAUGAUCUAAGUGCUACUUUAAAACUGCUCUUUGUUUCCGCUGAGUAGGUUUUAGAUAACAAACAUUUUUUUCAGCAUCCGUAUAAGAUUUUAUCAAACUGUUUCCGCAAAGAACUUACACCUUUAUGUAUGAAAGCAUUUUGCAUCGGUUUUAUUGCAGGACUAAUUUUUUUAGCUUGAAAAGAUGUCUUCAAUUUAAAAGAAAUAUACAUUUUCUGGCAAGAUUACUUCCUUGCUUCCCAUACUUGUCUCAUGUGCAUGACACAUUGCUUCUCUUAACCUUUUAGUUUGUACAGAGCCCUUCCAUUGCCUUAAGCAUUUACCUGCAUGUUUCUUGUCAGUAUGUUGCCUCCUUUUUUUAACCUCCAGGUAGGAGUUAGCAGCUUAUGGUUUUGUUUUGUUUCUUUGUCUUCCUCUCACCAAUACGUUGUUGAUGUAACAGACUUAAACCUGGCAAUAUUGAAGGUCCACAGUUCCUGGAGAAACUGACUCGUCCUAACAUUUAAAAGAUGUAGGAAUGCACAUAAUGGUGUAAGGAAGAAGCUAAACAGAAAAAUCAAGCCUGCAUUCUAGUGUGGUUUGAUAUAACAAAUUCUGGUGUCUCUAGUAUCUGAAUGGUUUAGCUUCAAAUGCUUACAUUACCCAAUGUAAACCUAUGCAAACAUAUAACCAUACGUGAACUCUGUUAGGGGACUGAAAUUAUGGUUACUAUGAAAUAAGACUGAGUACUGGUUUUCUGUCACUUAAGUACCACUUCUUUUGUUUUGUGCAGUGUUACUAAUAUUUAAAAAUAAAGAAAAUUCUCCUUUAUACUUUGUCCUCUUGCACUGUACCAUAGACUGCAGCUGGCAUCAGUUGUUCAUGUUUAAUUUCAAUUAAAGCUUAGGCUAUAAGCACAAGGGGGAGAGUCCACAUUCACAAACGCCCACAAGCAUACCAAGUUACUCCUUUUGCUAAAUCCACGAGCAAGUCAAUACAGUCCCUGUGUCAAAUGGCUGAUACUGGAAAAAUGAGGGUUUGUUCUCGCUGGAAACAUCACUAUAAGGAGCGUAUACCUCAGAGCUUGCACGUCAGCUGUGCAAGGAACAUUCAUCCUGGAUAAUACACAGCAGUGGGAAUUGCAUCCCGUUUAGUAUGCCUUCCGUACUCUGGGAGAAGUCCCCCCCAGUACAUAUGCCAAUUUUAAGCUAUUGGCGCUCCUUAUUUGUUGGGAAAAUGGUGCAUACUUUGGAAAAGCAGGAGAGGGGGAGGAAGGGGGAGGUGACACCAGCGUAGGGCUGGUCUCCCCUGGGCUGUCCCAGUGCUGUGAGCAGCCUCACGUCACGGGACAGAGUGGCUCC